GGCGGCACGCCUAACACAUGCAAGUCGAACGAAGUAGCAAUACUUAGUGGCAGACGGGUGAGUAACAUGUAGGUAUCUGCCCUUUGGCCUGGAAUAACACGAGGAAACUUGUGCUAAUACCGGAUAAGUCUUUACGGAGAAAGCUUUAUGCACCAUUGGAUGAGCCUGCACUUGAUUAGUUUGUUGGUGGGGUAAUGGCCUACCAAGACUGUGAUCAAUAGCUGAUUUGAGAGGAUGAUCAGCCACAUUGGGACUGAGACACGGCCCAAACUCCUACGGGAGGCAGCAGUGGGGAAUCUUGCACAAUGGAGGAAACUCUGAUGCAGCGAUGCCGCGUGAGUGAAGAAGGCCUUUGGGUUGUAAAGCUCUUUCGUCGGGGAAGAAAAUGACUGUACCCGAAUAAGAAGGUCCGGCUAACUUCGUGCCAGCAGCCGCGGUAAUACGAAGGGACCUAGCGUAGUUCGGAAUUACUGGGCUUAAAGAGUUCGUAGGUGGUUGAAAAAGUUGGUGGUGAAAUCCCAGAGCUUAACUCUGGAACUGCCAUCAAAACUUUUCAGCUAGAGUAUGAUAGAGGAAAGCAGAAUUUCUAGUGUAGAGGUGAAAUUCGUAGAUAUUAGAAAGAAUACCAAUUGCGAAGGCAGCUUUCUGGAUCAUUACUGACACUGAGGAACGAAAGCAUGGGUAGCGAAGAGGAUUAGAUACCCUCGUAGUCCAUGCCGUAAACGAUGUGUGUUAGACGUUGGAAAUUUAUUUUCAGUGUCGCAGCGAAAGCGAUAAACACACCGCCUGGGGAGUACGACC
rnacentral:rRNA from 1 species